GUGGGGAAUCUUCCGCAAUGGACGAAAGUCUGACGGAGCAACGCCGCGUGAGUGAUGAAGGUCUUCGGAUUGUAAAGCUCUGUUAAUCGGGACGAAAGAGCCUAGUGUGAAUAAUGCUAGGAAGUGACGGUACCGGAAUAGAAAGCCACGGCUAACUACGUGCCAGCAGCCGCGGUAAUACGUAGGUGGCAAGCGUUGUCCGGAAUUAUUGGGCGUAAAGCGCGCGCAGGCGGAUCUGCCAGUCUGUCUUAAAAGUUCGGGGCUUAACCCCGUGAUGGGAUGGAAACUACAGAUCUAGAGUAUCGGAGAGGAAAGUGGAAUUCCUAGUGUAGCGGUGAAAUGCGUAGAUAUUAGGAAGAACACCAGUGGCGAAGGCGACUUUCUGGACGAUGUCUGACGCUGAGGCGCGAAAGCUAGGGGAGCGAACGGGAUUAGAUACCCCGGUAGUCC
rnacentral:rRNA from 1 species